CUACUGUGUGGCCCCGUUCCUAAGAGGCCACAGACCAGUGCCAUCAGGGACCCUUGAUGCAAAGCACCUGGGUUCUUACUGAUGUCUUUAGGUUACCCAAUUAAAUAUGGAGUUGCCUACCUUAUUAAGUCAUUUUUAGUUGGAGUUCUCUGUUACUUUCAGUCAAAGACAAUUGAUAAAACAACAAUAAUGUUAAAAUUUCUUUUCUGUCAUGAGGACAGUGGGGUAGGUUAUGGGACAGGAUCCCUGAGCCUUACUUCAAGCAAUGUGAGAUGCCUGGCAUUAGAGAAUGCACUCAACCAUGAACCAUGUGCCUUCAUUAAGGUCUAACUAUUAGAAGGAGGUUCCGGAAGAACCAGUUUAGGAAGAGCUGGAGGUUCUGAGCAAGUCAGGGUAUGAGUAAAGAGUUCCCGACCAACCUGGGAGAUGUGAGCAUAUGAGAACAGGCUGGGCGCACAAGCUGGAGAGAAGGACCAGAUAUAGAUGGCAUUGUUGGCUCAAUGCUUUGCUGCCACAGUGCUGUGAAGACCAUCCUUUUCUAUGCCCGUAUGUGGUCCUGGUAGCAUGAGACAGAAGAAGGAAAAUACAAACACAGAAAGACACAGAAAAGAAGGCUGAGGUGAAGACAAAGACAGAGAUUGGAGAGAGACAGCCGCUCAAGGACUGGGAAGCACUGCCUCAUCCUGCAGAAGCUAGCAGAGGCCCCAUACCGAUUCUACCUUAGAGCUCCCAGAAAAUGUCUUUCAGUAAUUUGAGAAAUGUGAAUCUCCUACCCAUCUCUUCAGGACUCCUGAAGACAGAGAUAAGCCUUCUGUUUCCAGUGAUCAUGGGCCAGAUGAAGCCAGCCUCAGGAUAAUAAACCAGGUGAUGGUUUCAUCUCCCAAGUGUGCUUCCUCGUUUAAAAAACAAAACACACAAGGACACCUAGUGUAUCGUGACCUCCAGGGAAGGAGCCUGUCUGAGCACCAUCGAGUCAAUGCCUAAGAAGUAGACCCUGCAUUUAUGAAGAGGACUGUGGGCUGGGAACUUUCCUAGGACCCCUCUCAAUAGUUCUUCCUUUCUUAUGCAGAGUAACUUAUUUCCCCCAAACCCAUAUCCGAGCACCCUGUCUCUACAUAUUCAACAGGGGACCUUGCGAUUAUAAGGAUUAGUCUUUUGGUGGGUGGCAGGUUGAAUGGGGAGGGGAUGUUAAUAAGUAAUUUUGCUCCCUUCACACAUAAUUUUUAUUCAGUCAGAGUGUGGAAGAGUUUUUGCAACAGGUAGUGUUUUGUUUGUUUGUUUGAAAGAAGAGUCAUUGUGAUUAAAGAAAAAAUGUAAGCUUAUCUCUAUUUCCUUCUACUGCUGAAAAAUAGCUCCUUGACCUUCACUGGUCCAGACUUUCUGCUCUGGGCAACCCAUGGGGCAACACUGUUAAAUACAAUUCUUGAAAUUUUUUUCUAAACCUCUUUCUUUUUUUUUUUUUUUUUGAUAAAAAUCCUUAAUGCAUCUGUACUAGGAAGCACUCUACUUAUCAUAUGCUAUGCAUUGAAUAUUUGUUUCUGUUCAAUAUUCAUAGGUUGAAAUCCUUACCCUCAAACUGAUGGUAUUCAGAGAUGGGGCCCUAGUGGGUGAUGGGAUCUUGAAGGUAGAACCCUCUUCAAUGGGAUUGCUGCUCUUCUAUGGAAGAUCCCAGAGUGAUUUCCCAUCCCUCUGCCAUGUGGAGACAUAGCCAGAAGGCAAUGUCUGUGAACCAGGAACUGGGUUCUUACCAGAUACUAUUGGCACCUUGAUCUUGGACUUCCCGGCCUUCAGAACUGUGAGAA
ensembl:lncRNA